GUCGAGAAUCUUUCACAAUGGGGGCAACCCUGAUGGAGCGACGCCGCGUGGAGGAUAAGGUCUUCGGAUUGUAAACUCCUGUCAUGCGUGAACAAGGUUGCUUGGUUAAUACCUGGGCAAAUUGAUGGUAACGCAAGAGGAAGAGAUGGCUAACUCUGUGCCAGCAGCCGCGGUAAUACAGAGGUCUCAAGCGUUGUUCGGAAUCACUGGGCGUAAAGGGUGCGUAGGUGGCGUGGUAAGUCAGAUGUGAAAGCCCGGGGCUCAACCUCGGAACUGCUUCCGAUACUGCCAUGCUAGAGUACUGGAGAGGUGACUAGAAUUCUCGGUGUAGCAGUGAAAUGCGUAGAUAUCGAGAGGAAUACCAAAGGCGUAGGCAGGUCACUGGACAGUUACUGACACUGAGGCACGAAGGCCAGGGGAGCGAACGGGAUUAGAAACCCCGGUAGUCC
rnacentral:rRNA from 1 species